GAAGGGACCUAGCGUAGUUCGGAAUUACUGGGCUUAAAGAGUUCGUAGGUGGUUAAAAAAGUUGAUGGUGAAAUCCCAGAGCUUAACUCUGGAACUGCCAUCAAAACUUUUUAGCUAGAGUAUGAUAGAGGAAAGCAGAAUUUCUAGUGUAGAGGUGAAAUUCGUAGAUAUUAGAAAGAAUACCAAUUGCGAAGGCAGCUUUCUGGAUCAUUACUGACACUGAGGAACGAAAGCAUGGGUAGCGAAGAGGAUUAGAUACCCUCGUAGUCCAUGCCGUAAACGAUGUGUGUUAGACGUUGGAAAUUUAUUUUCAGUGUCGCAGCGAAAGCAAUAAACACACCGCCUGGGGAGUACGACCGCAAGGUUAAAACUCAAAUGAAUUGACGGGGACCCGCACAAGUAGUGGAGCAUGUGGUUUAAUUCGAAGAUACGCGCAGAACCUUACCAACACUUGACAUGUUCGUCGCGACUCUAAGAGAUUAGAGUUUUCGGUUCGGCCGGACGAAACACAGGUGCUGCAUGGCUGUCGUCAGCUCGUGUCGUGAGAUGUUGGGUUAAGUCCCGCAACGAGCGCAACCCUUACUUUUAGUUGCCAUCAUUUAGUUGGGCACUCUGAAAGAACUGCCAGUGAUAAGCUGGAGGAAGGUGGGGAUGACGUCAAGUCCUCAUGGCCCUUACGUGUUGGGCUACACACGUGCUACAAUGGUAUCUACAACAGGAAGCAAAACAGCGAUGUUAAGCAAAUCCCGAAAAGAUACCUCAGUUCGGAUUGCACUCUGCAACUCGAGUGCAUGAAGCUGGAAUUACUAGUAAUCGUGGAUCAGCGUGCCACGGUGAAUACGUUCCCGGGUCUU
rnacentral:rRNA from 1 species